UACGAGGGGGGCUAGCGUUGUUCGGAAUUACUGGGCGUAAAGGGCGCGUAGGCGGGCGUGGAAGUCAGAUGUGAAAGCCCCGGGCUCAACCCGGGAAUAGCAUUUGAUACUGCGAGGCUUGAGUCCGGGAGAGGAGGGCGGAAUUCCCAGUGUAGAGGUGAAAUUCGUAGAUAUUGGGAAGAAAACCGGUGGCGAAGGCGGCCAUCUGGACCGGCACUGACGCUGAGGCGCGAAAGCUUGGGGAGCAAACAGG
rnacentral:rRNA from 1 species